rnacentral:rRNA from 1 species
UACGUAGGGUGCAAGCGUUAUCCGGAAUUAUUGGGCGUAAAGAGCUCGUAGGCGGUUUGUCGCGUCUGCUGUGAAAACCGGAGGCUCAACCUCCGGCCUGCAGUGGGUACGGGCAAACUAGAGUGCGGUAGGGGAGAUUGGAAUUCCUGGUGUAGCGGUGGAAUGCGCAGAUAUCAGGAGGAACACCGAUGGCGAAGGCAGAUCUCUGGGCCGUAACUGACGCUGAGGAGCGAAAGCAUGGGGAGCGAACGGG